AAUAUUGCACAAUGGGGGAAACUCUGACGCAGCGACGCCGCGUGAGCGAUGAAGGUCNNNGGAUCNUCAAGCUCUGUCCUUGGNGACNAAGGUCUUCGGACUUGACGGUACCCAUGGAGGAAGCCCCGGCUAACUACGUGCCAGCAGCCGCGGUAAUACGUAGGGGGCAAGCGUUGUCCGGAAUUAUUGGGCGUAAAGGGUGCGUAGGCGGCCUUUUAAGUCAGAUGUGAAAGCCCACGGCUCAACCGUGGGAUUGCAUUUGAAACUGGAGGGCUUGAGUAUCGGAGAGGGUAGUGGAAUUCCCAGUGUAGCCGUGAAAUGCGUAGAUAUUGGGAGGAACACCAGUGGCGAAGGCGACUACCUGGACGAUUACUGACGCUGAUGCACGAAAGCUAGGGGAGCAAACAG
rnacentral:rRNA from 1 species